rnacentral:rRNA from 1 species
AAUAGAUACCCCGGUAGUCCACGCCGUAAACGAUGGAUGCUAGCUAUUGGGGGGAAUCGACCCCCUCCGAAGCGAAGCUAACGCGUUAAGCAUCCCGCCUGAGUAGUACGAGCGCAAGCUUAAAACUCAAAGGAAUUGACGGGGACCCGCACAAGCGGUGGAGCGUGUGGUUUAAUUCGAUGGUAAACGAAGAACCUUACCAAGGUUUGACAUCCCGGUAGCCGUUCUCCGAAAGGAGAAUUUCAUUUAGUUGGACCGGUGACAGGUGAUGCAUGGCCGUCGUCAGCUCGUGUCGUGAGAUGUUGGGUUAAGUCCCGCAACGAGCGCAACCCUUAUGAUUUAGUUGGAUUUUUCUAAACAGACUGCCCUGGUAACAGGGAGGAAGGAGGGGAUGAUGUCAGGUCAGUAUUUCCCUUACACCUUGGGCGACACACGCGCUACAAUGGCCGGUACAAUGGGCAGCUAAGCCGCGAGGUGGAGCAAAUCCCAUCAAAGCCGGUCCCAGUUCGGAUUGCAGGCUGAAACCCGCCUGCAUGAAGCCGGAAUCGCUAGUAACCG